rnacentral:piRNA from 1 species
UAAGCUAAUGUUAAUGUGUGUCUCUUU